UUGGCCGGGACCUGGAGAGUGUGUCCAGCGGUCUCAGGAAGCUGAAACGUCUGUCCCACGCCUUUGAUGAUGUCAUAGGGAGAGACGACCGAAGAACCUUCAACUACUCUCUAAUUGCAGAGUGAAUAUGCAGGUCCUGUGCAGCAGAGCGUUAUGGAGGGGUGAGGAGGUUGGACCCCAGCGGGAGGCUGGGCUGCUCCUCCUUCACAGAGCCAAACGCCUCCUACCAGCUCAGUCUCACGUCAGAGUUAGACGUUGAUCCAUGUUUCUCAAACGUCAAAUUGCAAAGUUUUUAAAAAUAUUGAGUUUAGGCAUUUAACUCAAAUUUGUAAGAUUUAGGGUUAAGUUCAGGCUGGUUUCCCCCCUCAGCUCCCAACGUCCUCAGACAUAGAUGGGUUAAGUUCAGGCUGGUUUCCACCCUCAGCUCCCGACGUCCUCAGACAUAGAUGGGUUAAGUUCAGGCUGGUUUCCCCCCUCAGCUCCCAACGUCCUCAGACAUAGAUGGGUUAAGUUCAGGCUGGUUUCCCCCCUCAGACAUAGAUGGGUUAAGUUCAGGCUGGUUUCCACCCUCAGCUCCCAACGUCCUCAGACAUAGAUGGGUUAAGUUCAGGCUGGUUUCCACCCUCAGCUCCCAACGUCCUCCGACAUAGAUGGGUUAAGUUCAGGCUGGUUUCCCCCCUCAGCUCCCAACGUCCUCAGACAUAGAUGGGUUAAGUUCAGACUGGUUUCCCCCCUCAGACAUAGAUGGGUUAAGUUCAGACUGGUUUCCCCCCUCAGACAUAGAUGGGUUAAGUUCAGGCUGGUUUCCACCCUCAGCUCCCGACGUCCUCAGACAUAGAUGGGUUAAGUUCAGGCUGGUUUCCCCCCUCAGCUCCCAACGUCCUCAGACAUAGAUGGGUUAAGUUCAGGCUGGUUUCCCCCCUCAGACAUAGAUGGGUUAAGUUCAGGCUGGUUUCCACCCUCAGCUCCCAACGUCCUCAGACAUAGAUGGGUUAAGUUCAGGCUGGUUUCCACCCUCAGCUCCCAACGUCCUCCGACAUAGAUGGGUUAAGUUCAGGCUGGUUUCCCCCCUCAGCUCCCAACGUCCUCAGACAUAGAUGGGUUAAGUUCAGACUGGUUUCCCCCCUCAGACAUAGAUGGGUUAAGUUCAGACUGGUUUCCCCCCUCAGACAUAGAUGGGUUAAGUUCAGGCUGGUUUCCACCCUCAGCUCCCAACGUCCUCAGACAUAGAUGGGUUAAGUUCAGGCUGGUUUCCACCCUCAGCUCCCGACGUCCUCAGACAUAGAUGGGUUAAGUUCAGGCUGGUUUCCCCCCUCAGACAUAGAUGGGUUAAGUUCAGGCUGGUUUCCACCCUCAGACAUAGAUGGGUUAAGUUCAGGCUGGUUUCCCCCCUCAGCUCCCAACGUCCUCAGACAUAGAUGGGUUAAGUUCAGGCUGGUUUCCCCCCUCAGACAUAGAUGGACGUUGGAUACUGACUGGUAUCACGGGGGGCCUGGUUCACCUUGCAGUCCUCAAGCCACACUGAACCCCACAUACCUUCCUGUUACAGUGUGUUGGUGUGAGGAAUAUGUAUCUUUCCAUAUUCUAGAUGUACAGUUGCAGCCAAAUAGAUUGGCAUCCUUGCAACUUCUCUUAAAUAAUUCCCUUCUUCUUCUCUUAAGUUAACGUUUGAAAUUGGUCUCCACACCUUUUUGUUAUUGGAUUGUCAACAUUGCAGAACAUAUGUUAUUUUGUUGCUAGUACUUGUUUUUGCACAGCUUUUUGUUCCAGAUAACUGCAGACAAAUGUUUCUUCUUCCAUCAAUGAGCUUGCUGCACUAUUCUACUGGCGAUUUGACCUUCAGAAAAUAACGGAUCUAGUUAUUCAAUGCCCUCCACCAACUGCUGUUUGGAUCUCUCCCCAGGGAAGUGGAUGUGAUUCUGGACUCUUCACUUCUCCAGAACAGUCCAGCGUUUUCUUCUUGAACCAUUCCAGGGUGCUUCUGUGUGUUUUAGGGUUGUUGUCCUACUCGAAGACCCACAACCUUCAACAGAGAGACAUUGCACUCCAAAAUGCCCUGAUAAUCUGCUCAUUGAUUAUUUUGUCUUGU